GGUCCGGUGGUGAAGUGGUAACACGGGGCUCUGCAAAAGCUCUAUGCGCGGGUUCGAUUCCCGCCCGGACCU
rnacentral:tRNA from 3 species